rnacentral:rRNA from 1 species
GAACGUGUCCUGUAGUGGGGGAUAGCCCGGCGAAAGCCGGAUUAAUACCGCAUACGCUCUACGGAGGAAAGGGGGGGAUCUUAGGACCUCCCGCUACAGGGGCGGCCGAUGGCAGAUUAGCUAGUUGGUGGGGUAAAGGCCUACCAAGGCGACGAUCUGUAGCUGGUCUGAGAGGACGACCAGCCACACUGGGACUGAGACACGGCCCAGACUCCUACGGGAGGCAGCAGUGGGGAAUUUUGGACAAUGGGGGCAACCCUGAUCCAGCAAUGCCGCGUGUGUGAAGAAGGCCUUCGGGUUGUAAAGCACUUUUGUCCGGAAAGAAAACGCCGUGGUUAAUACCCGUGGCGGAUGACGGUACCGGAAGAAUAAGCACCGGCUAACUACGUGCCAGCAGCCGCGGUAAUACGUAGGGUGCAAGCGUUAAUCGGAAUUACUGGGCGUAAAGCGUGCGCAGGCGGUCCGCUAAGACAGAUGUGAAAUCCCCGGGCUUAACCUGGGAACUGCAUUUGUGACUGGCGGGCUAGAGUAUGGCAGAGGGGGGUAGAAUUCCACGUGUAGCAGUGAAAUGCGUAGAGAUGUGGAGGAAUACCGAUGGCGAAGGCAGCCCCCUG